AGGCCAUCACUAACCAGUUUCUUAAAUACGUUUCUUAAGGUAAUUAGAAUUUAAAAAAAAGUGAAAAAAAGAAAUAAAUCCAAAGCACGUCUCUUAGUUAAGAAAAGAGAUCAUGAAGGAAACCUCACGGGAAUCUUUCGAACUUCCUCCAGAGAUCAUCAUGGAGAUUCUCAUCCGAUUACCAGACAAAUCAACUGGAGGUUUGAUUAAGGAACUGAAAGUCCAUGUUUUGCUGAUUAAGAAGCAAAGGUCGAGAGGCUUUUGAUGGUUAAUACGUCUCAGUCUCCCUGUGUUUAUAGCCUCUCGGGGAUGAAGGAAUCAGCUGCUACAAAGUUCAAAACUUUCCAGAUUCAUGUUGAUUGGAUGCUCGAAAACGGCAUUACUAGUCAGAUAAAAUUGGUGUUUCUGUGAAACUAGCAAUGAAGUAUAUGAAGAGAGUAUCUGCAGAGAUUGGAGGCGGUGCGCCCUGAAGAGGAAGAGCUUAUUGUUCAAGGCGUCAGAUUCGCGUUCCGUGUUCAUCAGUUCGCAGGAGGAUUUGAUGCAGAGACAAGCUUGUAUAUAUUCAAGGUAAUUCACAAACUUGUAUAUAUAGCCUUUGUUCUUCAUUCUCCUUCGCAUGUUCUUCCUUCUUCUUCUAUCUUGUAAACAAUCAAAAACAAUUUCUCUAUCGUAAACAAUCAAAAAAAAUUUCUUAACC